GCCCGCUUGGCUCAGUGGUAGAGCGUGUCACUCGUAAAGACGUUAUGACAAGGUCAUUAGUUCGAUUCUGAUAGUGGGCA